GACGAACGCUGGCGGCGUGCUUAACACAUGCAAGUCGAACGGAAAGGCCCUGCUUUUGUGGGGUGCUCGAGUGGCGAACGGGUGAGUAACACGUGAGUAACCUGCCCUUGACUUUGGGAUAACUUCAGGAAACUGGUGCUAAUACCGGAUAGGAGCUCCUGCUGCAUGGUGGGGGUUGGAAAGUUUCGGCGGUUGGGGAUGGACUCGCGGCUUAUCAGCUUGUUGGUGGGGUAGUGGCUUACCAAGGCUUUGACGGGUAGCCGGCCUGAGAGGGUGACCGGCCACAUUGGGACUGAGAUACGGCCCAGACUCCUACGGGAGGCAGCAGUGGGGAAUAUUGCACAAUGGGCGGAAGCAUGAUGCAGCAACGCCGCGUGCGGGAUGACGGCCUUCGGGUUGUAAACCGCUUUCGCCUGUGACGAAGCGUGAGUGACGGUAAUGGGUAAAGAAGCACCGGCUAACUACGUG
rnacentral:rRNA from 1 species